CAGCCGCCGCGGGAAUACGAAGGGGGCUAGCGUUGUUCGGAAUUACUGGGCGUAAAGCGUGCGCAGGCGGCCAUGCAAGACAGAUGUGAAAUCCCCGGGCUCAACCUGGGAACUGCAUUUGUAACUGCAUGGCUAGAGUACGGUAGAGGGGGGUGGAAUUCCGCGUGUAGCAGUGAAAUGCGUAGAUAUGCGGAGGAACACCGAUGGCGAAGGCAAUCCCCUGGACCUGUACUGACGCUCAUGCACGAAAGCGUGGGGAGCAAACAGGAUUAGAUACCCGCGUAGUCCCUGUCUCUUAUAC
rnacentral:rRNA from 1 species